rnacentral:rRNA from 1 species
UACAGAGGGGGCGAGCGUUGUUCGGAAUUACUGGGCGUAAAGGGCGCGUAGGCGGCCUCUUAAGUCGAACGUGAAAUCCCCGGGCUCAACCCGGGAACUGCGUCCGAUACUGGGGGGCUUGAAUCCGGGAGAGGGAUGUGGAAUUCCAGGUGUAGCGGUGAAAUGCGUAGAUAUCAGGAGGAACACCGGUGGCGAAGGCGGGUCUCUGGGCCGAUACUGACGCUGAGGAGCGAAAGCGUGGGGAGCGAACAGG